rnacentral:rRNA from 1 species
AGGAUGAACGCUAGCGACAGGCCUAACACAUGCAAGUCGAGGGCAGCACAAGGAGCAAUCUGAGGUGGCGACCGGCGCACGGGUGAGUAACACGUAUGCAACCUGCCUGUAAGCGGGGAAUAACCCGUUGAAAGACGGACUAAUACCGCAUAAUACUAAAUUACUGCAUGGUAAUUUAUUUAAACAUUUAUGGCUUACAGAUGGGCAUGCGCAUGAUUAGCUAGUUGGAGAGGUAACGGCUCCCCAAGGCAACGAUCAUUAGGGGUUCUGAGAGGAAGGUCCCCCCACACUGGUACUGAGACACGGACCAGACUCCUACGGGAGGCAGCAGUGAGGAAUAUUGGUCAAUGGACGAGAGUCUGAACCAGCCAAGUCGCGUGCAGGAAGAAUUGUCCUAUGGAUUGUAAACUGCUUUUGCAGGGGAAUAAAGUGCAUCACGUGUGAUGUUUUGUAUGUACUCUGCGAAUAAGGAUCGGCUAACUCCGUGCCAGCCGCGGC